AGUCUCUUAGAGUCUUAGGAGCCACUAUGUGCCUUUUGGAGUCAAAAUGGUGGUAAGGAAUUAUAAAAUGUAUUGUUAAAGUCAACUGUAUUUUUUCUAGGGUGAAGCAGGUGAAAUAAUUACAUCCUUGCUGCCAGGACAGAAAGGUGACCCAGGAUUUCCAGGUCUUCCAGGGAUACCUGGCCCCCCUGGCUCCGUGGGAAUUCCAGGUCCAGUUGGCCCUCCAGGGCCCCCAGGUUUGACAGGACCUCCUGGUCCACCAGGGCUUCCAGGACCCAAGGGUAAUAUGGGUUUGAAUUUCCAAGGACCCAAAGGUGAAAAAGUGAGUAGGUGAUC
rnacentral:lncRNA from 1 species